CAACCUAGGGCUGUGAUUUAAACAUUUAUUUAGUGUUGCAUGGUACUCGCGGUGCCAAGACGUCACGGUUCCUACACAACAGUACUACCGUGGAUUACCACACUACUGCCAGUUUCCACUGUGUCGGCGGGUUCUCACUACAGCUGUUCUCAUGUCAACAAACACACGUGACGAAUCAUUGAACACAUUCAAGCACAUUACCAAACUCAGAUGUAUGUGUUUGUUAUAUUAUGGAAUGGAUCUACAGAAUCCUUGGGAACAUUGAUCGCCAUUCGCUGUUGUUUUUUGUAUUGACCACGACCUUUAUUGUUAUGCAAUGUUACAUAAAUACUGUCAAAGUAAUAUGUCCGUUUUUCUUUUAGUGCCAGAAUGGAAAAACCAACAGCAGUCACAAGCCAGGGUCUUUCCCUGGAUUCUUCCGAGGCAAGAAAAGAGCACUCUCCAGAGGUCAAAUGCCUACAGCCAAGGCUGUGAAGAUAUGGAAGCUGUUCGAUGUUUCCUUUUUUUUUUUUACUUGGAUCUAAGUCAGUCUGUCCCAGACUCUGUACAGAAGCUGCUGUCGCAUAGAUUCCUGCAACAAGAAAGACAAAUAAUAUAACAAAACAUAACAAAAAAGAGACUUCAGAGUAUUACACUUUAUUUUAUUUCAAAAAACAUUUGAAAUCAUAGCUGUACAAUACUGCACUUUCCACCACAAUGACAACACAUAUUAUGUGCAUGUAAAGCCUACCUGGACUUGUGAUCUUGCAGUUAUCCUUUCAGUCAUGAAACUAAAGUAAAGCAUGAUCAUU